ensembl:piRNA 21ur-4290 ncRNA
UUGCGACUUACGUUCUGUCGG